AUCGAACGCUGGCGGCAGGCUUAACACAUGCAAGUCGAGCGAGCGGCGGACGGGUGAGUAAUGUCUGGGAAACUGCCUGCUGGUUGGGGAUAACUACUGGAACGGGUAGCUAAUACCGCAUUCCAUCAGCUGUUCCCAGAGGGGUUUAGCUAGUAGGUGGGGUGAUGGCUCACCUAGGCGACGAUCCCUAGCUGGUCUGAUAGGAUGACCAGCGUCACUGGAACUGAGACACGGUCGAGACUCCUACGGGAGGCAGCGGAGGGGAAUAUUGCACAAUGGGCGCAAGCCUGAUGCAGCCAUGCCGCGUAGGUGAAGAAGGCCUUCAAGUUGUAAAGCACUUUCAGCGAGGAGGCGUUACUCGCAGAAGAAGCACCGGCUAACUCCGUGCCAGCAGCCGCGGUAAUUC
rnacentral:rRNA from 1 species